AGCAGCCGCGGUAAUUCCAGCUCCAAUAGCAUAUAUUAAAGUUGUUGCAGUUAAAAAGCUCGUAGUUGAAUUUCGGGGUCAGUAGGUUGGUCGUGCCACGGGUAUGAACUGGUCUCACUGAUUCCUCCUUCCUGAUGAACCGUAAUGCCAUUAAUUUGGUGUUGCGGGGAGACUGGACUGUUACUUUGAAAAAAUUAGAGUGUUUAAAGCAGGCUAACGCUUGAAUACAUUAGCAUGGAAUAAUGAAAUAGGACGUUCGGUCUUAUUUUGUUGGUUUCUAAGAUUGACGUAAUGAUUAAUAGGGAUAGUUGGGGGCAUUAGUAUUCAAUUGUCAGAGGUGAAAUUCUUGGAUUUAUUGAAGACUAACUACUGCGAAAGCAUUUGCCAAGGAUGUUUUCAUUAAUCAAGAACGAAAGUUAGGGGAUCGAAGACGAUCAGAUACCGUCGUAGUCUUAACCAUAAACUAUGCCGACUAGGGAUCGGAUGAUGUUAAUUUUUUAAUGACUCAUUCGGCGCCUUACG
rnacentral:rRNA from 1 species